AUCCGUGCUAGAAACGAUGAUGUUGGUGUCGCACCUUAGACUUGUGUUUAAAUAGAGCUUUUGCUCGUGAACCAAAUAUGGUCGGCUGGGUUGUCUUUGCGGAAACGCUUAGGCGACUUGUCUACGAAUUGUAAUCAUAUAUGCGCGACGGUGAAUCCUUUGCAGACGACUUGAAUGGGAACGGGGUACUGUAAGUGGUAGAGUAGCCUUGUUGCUACGAUCCACUGAGGUUAAGCCCUUGUUCUAAAGAUUUGUUCA
rnacentral:rRNA from 1 species